rnacentral:rRNA from 1 species
AGUGAACGCUGGCGGUAGGCCUAACACAUGCAAGUCGAACGGCAGCACAGUAAGAGCUUGCUCUUACGGGUGGCGAGUGGCGGGCGGGUGAGGAAUACAUCGGAAUCUACUUUUUCGUGGGGGAUAACGUAGGGAAACUUACGCUAAUACCGCAUACGACCUACGGGUGAAAGCAGGGGAUCUUCGGACCUUGCGCGAUUGAAUGAGCCGAUGUCGGAUUAGCUAGUUGGCGGGGUAAAGGCCCACCAAGGCGACGAUCCGUAGCUGGUCUGAGAGGAUGAUCAGCGACACUGGAACUGAGACACGGCCCAGACUCCUACGGGAGGCAGCAGUGGGGAAUAUGGGACAAUGGGCGCAAGCCUGAUCCAGCCAUACCGCGUGGGUGAAGAAGGCCUUCGGGUUGUAAAGCCCUUUUGUUGGGAAAGAAAAGCAGCAGGUUAAUACCCCGCUGUUCUGACGGUACCCAAAGAAUAAGCACCGGCUAACUUCGUG